rnacentral:lncRNA from 1 species
CCCAGCUUUACAAAACAACAGUUCUAUUAAAUCGUAAAUACACCAAACUACUAUUGAGUACAAAAAUAAGAAGAAGUGGCAUGCUUGCCAAUGUAAAAACUCUCCAUCUGAGACCAAGUGACGUAGAUGAAUUAUCUGUUGACGAUAUGACCCUAUGUGACCUUUUUCAAUGAUAUCAGAUUUAAACGACGGUAGAAAUGUACUGUCCAGAGACAAAUAACCUUUGUCAUAAAUUAGUCUAUUCGUUUCAUUUUCGAUGCUUUAUAGAUGUGAAAAGUUUUGUCCAAACCUUUUUGUUAUGGUUUACCAUUACCAAUCGUGGGCAUGAUGAUACACCGUACUUGUUUACCUUAUGCCUUUUGAUGAUUUUGAUUUUGUUGUAAGUCCUCAUAUCUUUGCUUUUUGACUUUCAGCAUACUUUAUGAAAUUUGUAUCUAAAACACUUUGUAGAUUUUUGUCAAAAAUGUUUAAAUGGCUAAUAU